CGCGUGGGAACGUACCCUUUUCUACGGAAUAGCCUCGGGGAAACUGAGAGUAAUACCGUAUACGCCCUUCGGGGGAAAGAUUUAUCGAGAAGGAUCGGCCGCGUUAGAUUAGAUAGUUGGUGGGGUAAUGGCCUACCAAGUCUACGAUCUAUAGCUGGUUUUAGAGGAUGAUCAGCAACACUGGGACUGAGACACGGCCCAGACUCCUACGGGAGGCAGCAGUGGGGAAUCUUGGACAAUGGGCGCAAGCCUGAUCCAGCCAUGCCGCGUGUGUGAUGAAGGCCUUAGGGUCGUAAAGCA
rnacentral:rRNA from 1 species